CAAUAGCGUAUAUUAAAGUUGUUGCAGUUAAAAAGCUCGUAGUUGGAUCUCGGGUCCAGGCUUGCGGUCCGCCUCGCGGCGGUUACUGCUCGUCCUGACCUACCUCCCGGUUUUCCCUUGGUGCUCUUGACUGAGUGUCUCGGGUGGCCGGAACGUUUACUUUGAAAAAAUUAGAGUGUUCAAGGCAGGCACUUCGCCUGAAUAAUGGUGCAUGGAAUAAUGGAAUAGGACCUCGGUUCUAUUUUGUUGGUUUUCGGAACUUGAGGUAAUGAUUAAGAGGGACGGAUGGGGGCAUUCGUAUUACGGUGUUAGAGGUGAAAUUCUUGGAUCGCCGUAAGACGAACGACUGCGAAAGCAUUUGCCAAAAAUGUUUUCAUUAGUCAAGAACGAAAGUCAGAGGUU
rnacentral:rRNA from 1 species